rnacentral:rRNA from 1 species
CAUAUGGAUUCCUACGGGAGGCAGCAGUGAGGAAUAUUGGACAAUGGAUGGAAAUCUGAUCCAGCCAUGCCGCGUGCAGGAAGACGGCCCUAUGGGUUGUAAACUGCUUUUGUAUGGGAGCAAUAAGGUCUAUGCGUAGACUGAUGAGAGUACCAUACGAAUAAGCAUCGGCUAACUCCGUGCCAGCAGCCGCGGUAAUACGGGGGAUGUAAGCGUUAUCCGGAUUUAUUGGGUUUAAAGGGUGCGUAGGCGGUUUGAUAAGUCAGCGGUGAAAUAUUUCAGCUUAACUGAAAGGGUGCCGUUGAUACUGUCAGGCUUGAAUAUGGUUGCUGUGGGUGGAAUGUGUGGUGUAGCGGUGAAAUGCUUAGAUAUCACACAGAAUAUCGAUUGCGAAGGCAGCUCACAAAGCCAUUAUUGACGCUGAUGCACGAAAGUGUGGGGAUCAAACAGGAUUAGAUACCCUGGUAGUCCACACUGUAAACGAUGAUAACUCGCUGUCGGCGAUACACAGUCGGUAGCCAAGCGAAAGCGAUAAGUUAUCCACCUGGGGAGUACGACCGCAAGGUUGAAACUCAAAGGAAAUGACGGGGGCCCGCACAAGCGGAGGAACAUGUGGUCUAAUUCGAUGAUACGCGAGGAACCUUACCCGGGCUCGAACGGUGCAGGAAUACGUCAGAGAUGAUGUAGCUAGCAAUAGUCUGUAUCGAGGUGCUGCAUGGUUGUCGUCAGCUCGUGCCGUGAGGUGUCGGCUUAAGUGCCAUAACGAGCGCAACCCUUGUCGUUAGUUGCCAUCAGGUAAUGCUGGGAACUCUAGCGAGACUGCCACCGUAAGGUGUGAGGAAGGGGGGGAUGACGUCAAAUCAGCACGGCCCUUACGUCCGGGGCGACCCACGUGUUACAAUGGUAGGUACAGAGGGCAGCUMCCCRGCAACGGGGUGCGAAUCUCAAAAGCCUAUCUCAGUUCGGAUCSGAGUCUGCAACUCGACUCCGUGAAGCUGGAUUCGCUAGUAAUCGCGCAUCAGCCAUGGCGCGGUGAAUACGUUCCCGGGCCUUGUACACACCGCC